GAGUCAAGACCAGGACCAGAUAUGUGUUAGACAGCCAGAGCUUCUUCUCUUGUCUCCCGCAUUCACUUUCUUGGGAGUGCAUGUAAAGGGGGGGCAAGGAGAUAUAGUUAUUAGAUUUGAGAGAU